GACGAACGCUGGCGGCGUGCUUAACACAUGCAAGUCGAACGGAGUGGCGAACGGGUGAGUAACACGUGGGUGACCUGCCCUGCACUUCGGGAUAAGCCUGGGAAACUGGGUCUAAUACCGGAUAUGGUGGGAUGGGCCCGCGGCCUAUCAGCUUGUUGGUGGGGUAAUGGCCUACCAAGGCGGGGACGGGUAGCCGGCCUGGGAGGGUGGACGGCCACAUUGGGGCUGAGAGACGGGGCAGAGUCCUACGGGGGGCAGCAGUGGGGAAUAUUGCACAAUGGGCGGAAGCCUGAUGCAGCGACGCCGCGUGGGGGAUGACGGCCUUCGGGUUGUAAACUCCUUUCACCAUCGACGCGGUAGAUGGAGAAGAAGCACCGGCUAACUACGUGCCAGCAGCCGCGGUAAUAC
rnacentral:rRNA from 1 species